rnacentral:rRNA from 1 species
AACGGCCGUACCAUGCUGAAUAUACCGGUUCUCGUUAGAUCACCGAAGUCAAGCAGCAUUGGGCGCGGUCAGUACUUGGGUGGGUGACCACCUGGGAACACUGCGUGCCGUU